rnacentral:rRNA from 1 species
AGAAGCUUGCUUCUUAUCAAUUCGAGUGGCAAACGGGUGAGUAACGCGUAAGCAACCUGCCCUUCAGAUGGGGACAACAGCUGGAAACGGCUGCUAAUACCGCAUAACGCGUAGAGGUCGCAUGGCCUUUACGCCAAAGAUUUAUCGCUGAAAGAUGGCCUCGCGUCUGAUUAGCUAGUUGGUGAGGUAACGGCCCACCAAGCCGACGAUCGGUAGCCGACCUGAGAGGGUGAUCGGCCACAUUGGGACUGAGACACGGCCCAAACUCC